UACGUAGGGUGCGAGCGUUGUCCGGAAUUAUUGGGCGUAAAGAGCUCGUAGGCGGUGUGUCGCGUCGGCCGUGAAAACCUGCAGCUUAACUGUGGGCUUGCGGUCGAUACGGGCAUCACUGGAGUUCGGCAGGGGAGACUGGAAUUCCUGGUGUAGCGGUGAAAUGCGCAGAUAUCAGGAGGAACACCGGUGGCGAAGGCGGAUCUCUGGGCCAUUACUGACGCUGAGGAGCGAAAGCGUGGGGAGCGAACAGG
rnacentral:rRNA from 1 species